GUCCACGCCACCCUGGAGCUGUUUGCCCUGAUGGUGGUAGUGUUUGAACUCUGCAUGAAGUUACGCUGGCUGGGCCUCCACACCUUCAUCCGGCACAAGCGGACCAUGGUCAAGACCUCGGUGCUGGUGGUGCAGUUUGUCGAGGCCAUCGUGGUGUUGGUACGGCAGAUGUCCCAUGUGCGGGUGACCCGAGCACUGCGCUGCAUUUUCCUGGUGGACUGUCGGUAUUGCGGUGGCGUCCGGCGCAACCUGCGGCAGAUCUUCCAGUCCCUGCCGCCCUUCAUGGACAUCCUCCUGCUGCUGCUGUUCUUCAUGAUCAUCUUUGCCAUCCUCG
rnacentral:circRNA from 1 species